rnacentral:tRNA from 1 species
GCCGGGGUGGCGGAACGGAAUACGCUGCGGUCUCAAACACCGCUGCCCUUACGGGCUUGAGGGUUCAAAUCCCUCCCCCGGCA